UUGAAUGGGUUCCCACGUGGCUGUUAGGAUGAGAUGUGAACCAUGACAUGUAGUUCAAUCUACCUAAAAAACCACGAACCUCUCUUUCUGUUCUCGGUUCAGGCAUUUCUUUUUUCUUUAUUAUUAUUAUUAUUUUUUUUUAAAACAGGACCAACCUCGAUUCCUCUCUUACAAUGAACCCCAACAGCUUACCGGCCCGCACUCUGAAAGUGCACUUAUCUGAAUUCAACCUCAGUUUGAACUGUCUCAACUGGUCCACUCAGCUUGGCCAGAUCUGCCAGAUGCCCCUUGUCAUACGGUGAACUGGACCUUAUUGGAUUUGUAAUCGCAAUGUCGCGGUUAGCAAGAGUCGCCACCGACUUUUCUUUUAUCCCUUAAGGAAAGGUGGAAAAGAACAGGAAAGACCUUAAUUUUAAAUUCUUAGGUUCGGGAGGUACUUUAUACAAAGGGAAGGUGUUAGCACCCUUUGUAUCCAUGGUUAUCCAUGGGCUCUUAAUUGCUCAAUCAUUUAUGUUUUUUUUUUUUAGUUUGAAAAAGGGGGUUGAGAAAGGUGUGAAAAAUGUUUUGCAAAAUGAGAAUUUAACUUUGUAAUGAUUCUUGCAUGAAUGUAUACAAAGUGGUUAUCUCGUUU
rnacentral:lncRNA from 1 species